CAAGAGUUGAAAAACUCCCUAAACCCACUGUGAACCUACCUGUAUCUGUUGCUUCGGCGGGCUGCCCCAGGGCGGGGUUCUAGGCCUUAUAGGUGCCCGCCGACGGCUCCCUACAAACUCUUUUGUCAUUUGGGUACUCUGAGUGAAGAUCAAAUGAGUCA
rnacentral:misc_RNA from 1 species